rnacentral:tRNA from 1 species
AAAGAAAUAUAUAAUUUUAAGAAAAAGCUUCUAACUUUUUCCUUUAGCAGUGAA